CAAGAAGAUCUCCUUACCUUGACAGGUUUUGCCGUUGGGCGUCAGGCGAUAACCAGCUGGACAAACACACUGGUAACUCCCCAGGGUGUUCCUGCAUUCGUGCUGGCAGGUAUCUCUGGUUUCACAUUCAUCAACAUCUAUGGAGAAGAAACACAAACACAAGCACAUCCCCAUGAGGAUUAUGUGAAGCUGCUGUUGAACUGAGAUGGUUCCUGUGGCUGAAUGUGAGAAUUGGCCUAUCCUGAAAGCUGCUGUGGUUCCUGCUGGGUAUCAGAGAGAUGCUCCCUGAGAAAGAAGGUGAUCCUGUGCAACAGAGGCAAAAUGGAAAGCAGUGAGUGGCUUGCAUCGACCCUGUCGCCAUCCCUGUGAGCAGUGAUCUCUGACUGGUGAGAGAGGACUUAUGGCUGGAGGAGAAAAGGGGCAGCUUUACCUUCACGCUCACAUCAGCUACUGACUGGAGCUGCAGCAGGUGGCCGCUCACCACCACAUCCAGCAGCAAGGCUCCCUCUGAAUCCAGGCCCCGGGCAAUGGCUCGCUGCCAGGACACUGAACACAAGACACAUCAGAAGUACCAACCCACGCAAGAAGUACCUGGACAGGGCCUGCCGUGGCA